rnacentral:rRNA from 1 species
UACAGAGGGGGCAAGCGUUGUUCGGAAUUACUGGGCGUAAAGGGCGCGUAGGCGGCCUUCUAAGUCGAACGUGAAAUCCCUGGGCUUAACCCAGGAACUGCGUCCGAUACUGGGAGGCUUGAAUUCGGGAGAGGGAUGCGGAAUUCCAGGUGUAGCGGUGAAAUGCGUAGAUAUCUGGAGGAACACCGGUGGCGAAGGCGGCAUCCUGGACCGAGAUUGACGCUGAGGCGCGAAAGCCAGGGGAGCGAUCCGG